UUAAGCGACUAAGCGUACACGGUGGAUGCCCUGGCAGUCAGAGGCGAUGAAGGACGUGCUAAUCUGCGAUAAGCGUCGGUGAGGUGAUAUGAACCGUUAUAACCGGCGAUUUCCGAAUGGGGAAACCCAGUGUGUUUCGACACACUAUCAUUAACUGAAUCCAUAGGUUAAUGAGGCGAACCGGGGGAACUGAAACAUCUAAGUACCCCGAGGAAAAGAAAUCAACCGAGAUUCCCCCAGUAGCGGCGAGCGAACGGGGAGGAGCCCAGAGCCUGAAUCAGUGUGUGUGUUAGUGGAAGCGUCUGGAAAGGCGCGCGAUACAGGGUGACAGCCCCGUACACAAAAAUGCACAUACUGUGAGCUCGAUGAGUAGGGCGGGACACGUGGUAUCCUGUCUGAAUAUGGGGGGACCAUCCUCCAAGGCUAAAUACUCCUGACUGACCGAUAGUGAACCAGUACCGUGAGGGAAAGGCGAAAAGAACCCCGGCGAGGGGAGUGAAAAAGAACCUGAAACCGUGUACGUACAAGCAGUGGGAGCCUCUUAAUGGGGUGACUGCGUACCUUUUGUAUAAUGGGUCAGCGACUUAUAUUCUGUAGCAAGGUUAACCGAAUAGGGGAGCCGAAGGGAAACCGAGUCUUAACUGGGCGUUAAGUUGCAGGGUAUAGACCCGAAACCCGGUGAUCUAGCCAUGGGCAGGUUGAAGGUUGGGUAACACUAACUGGAGGACCGAACCGACUAAUGUUGAAAAAUUAGCGGAUGACUUGUGGCUGGGGGUGAAAGGCCAAUCAAACCGGGAGAUAGCUGGUUCUCCCCGAAAGCUAUUUAGGUAGCGCCUCGUGAAUUCAUCUCCGGGGGUAGAGCACUGUUUCGGCAAGGGGGUCAUCCCGACUUACCAACCCGAUGCAAACUGCGAAUACCGGAGAAUGUUAUCACGGGAGACACACGGCGGGUGCUAACGUCCGUCGUGAAGAGGGAAACAACCCAGACCGCCAGCUAAGGUCCCAAAGUCAUGGUUAAGUGGGAAACGAUGUGGGAAGGCCCAGACAGCCAGGAUGUUGGCUUAGAAGCAGCCAUCAUUUAAAGAAAGCGUAAUAGCUCACUGGUCGAGUCGGCCUGCGCGGAAGAUGUAACGGGGCUAAACCAUGCACCGAAGCUGCGGCAGCGACACUAUGUGUUGUUGGGUAGGGGAGCGUUCUGUAAGCCUGUGAAGGUGUACUGUGAGGUAUGCUGGAGGUAUCAGAAGUGCGAAUGCUGACAUAAGUAACGAUAAAGCGGGUGAAAAGCCCGCUCGCCGGAAGACCAAGGGUUCCUGUCCAACGUUAAUCGGGGCAGGGUGAGUCGACCCCUAAGGCGAGGCCGAAAGGCGUAGUCGAUGGGAAACAGGUUAAUAUUCCUGUACUUGGUGUUACUGCGAAGGGGGGACGGAGAAGGCUAUGUUGGCCGGGCGACGGUUGUCCCGGUUUAAGCGUGUAGGCUGGUUUUCCAGGCAAAUCCGGAAAAUCAAGGCUGAGGCGUGAUGACGAGGCACUACGGUGCUGAAGCGACAAAUGCCCUGCUUCCAGGAAAAGCCUCUAAGCAUCAGGUAACAUCAAAUCGUACCCCAAACCGACACAGGUGGUCAGGUAGAGAAUACCAAGGCGCUUGAGAGAACUCGGGUGAAGGAACUAGGCAAAAUGGUGCCGUAACUUCGGGAGAAGGCACGCUGAUAUGUAGGUGAAGCGACUUGCUCGUGGAGCUGAAAUCAGUCGAAGAUACCAGCUGGCUGCAACUGUUUAUUAAAAACACAGCACUGUGCAAACACGAAAGUGGACGUAUACGGUGUGACGCCUGCCCGGUGCCGGAAGGUUAAUUGAUGGGGUUAGCGGUAACGCGAAGCUCUUGAUCGAAGCCCCGGUAAACGGCGGCCGUAACUAUAACGGUCCUAAGGUAGCGAAAUUCCUUGUCGGGUAAGUUCCGACCUGCACGAAUGGCGUAAUGAUGGCCAGGCUGUCUCCACCCGAGACUCAGUGAAAUUGAACUCGCUGUGAAGAUGCAGUGUACCCGCGGCAAGACGGAAAGACCCCGUGAACCUUUACUAUAGCUUGACACUGAACAUUAAGCCUUGAUGUGUAGGAUAGGUGGGAGGCUUUGAAGUGUGGACGCCAGUCUGCAUGGAGCCGACCUUGAAAUACCACCCUUUAAUGUUUGAUGUUCUAACGUGGGCCCCUUACCGGGGUUGCGGACAGUGUCUGGUGGGUAGUUUGACUGGGGCGGUCUCCUCCUAAAGAGUAACGGAGGAGCACGAAGGUUGGCUAAUCCUGGUCGGACAUCAGGAGGUUAGUGCAAUGGCAUAAGCCAGCUUGACUGCGAGCGUGACGGCGCGAGCAGGUGCGAAAGCAGGUCAUAGUGAUCCGGUGGUUCUGAAUGGAAGGGCCAUCGCUCAACGGAUAAAAGGUACUCCGGGGAUAACAGGCUGAUACCGCCCAAGAGUUCAUAUCGACGGCGGUGUUUGGCACCUCGAUGUCGGCUCAUCACAUCCUGGGGCUGAAGUAGGUCCCAAGGGUAUGGCUGUUCGCCAUUUAAAGUGGUACGCGAGCUGGGUUUAGAACGUCGUGAGACAGUUCGGUCCCUAUCUGCCGUGGGCGCUGGAGAACUGAGGGGGGCUGCUCCUAGUACGAGAGGACCGGAGUGGACGCAUCACUGGUGUUCGGGUUGUCAUGCCAAUGGCACUGCCCGGUAGCUAAAUGCGGAAGAGAUAAGUGCUGAAAGCAUCUAAGCACGAAACUUGCCCCGAGAUGAGUUCUCCCUGACUCCUUGAGAGUCCUGAAGGAACGUUGAAGACGACGACGUUGAUAGGCCGGGUGUGUAAGCGCAGCGAUGCGUUGAGCUAACCGGUACUAAUGAACCGUGAGGCUUAACCUU
rnacentral:rRNA from 3 species